AUCCCAGGACCCUGGGAUCAUGACCUGAACCGAAGGCAGAGGCUUUAACCCACUGAGCCACCCAGGUGCCCCGGAAAACUCAGUUUUGAUGGGGCAUUCCAAAGAGUGGACAAAGUGAUAGGAUUGAAGCGAUUGUGAAGGAUGUAAUUCCUGAGCCUAAGGUUUUUCCUCCUUGACUCUGUCUUUUAUCAUACCAUUCCAGAAUCUUGAGAUGGGGGCCCAGCAGUCUGAAUCUUAAACACACUGGGGCUUUUACACAUGAAAGUGGUUUGGAAUCUAAAAAGCAUUUGUCAGGAUGUACGUAUCCCUGUGUAUUAAUGUUCAAAGAACUACAUCAUGAAAUGCUAAAGAUUCUAGUCUGAAAUUAGCAUAGAAUUUGGAAAAGCCAGAAACUGUACUUGGGCUUUCUAAGAUUUGUAUCUCCUACAAAAACAAAACAAUGACCAGUGCUUGUGUGCAGACAGGACCUUCAGAUCUCAGGGUAAAUUAUAAUUUGCUACAGUUUUUCUAGUUCUUGCCAAAAAUUGUGAAAUUUUCUUUGGCCCCAAAUAAAGUUGGUGUCUACAGCCCUGGCCAAAAAAAUAGGAUGACACUUAAAAUGCGACUAGGUUUCGUUGAGUGGUGUUUUCUUAGUCCUCUGGGGGUGAUAUGUGGGCUGGGAACCAUGACUUCCUAUGGGACAGAUUUGUGACAACCUUUAGAGGAUUUUGCAGACCCCCAAGUAAAAGGAAAAUGGACAGCAAACUUAGUGAUUUGGUUGAGAAGUGUGUGAAGGCUUUACUCAGUUGGACAAACUGGAUAAUUCAGAUUUGAUCUUUGAUGAUGGGAGAAAGGCAAAACUGGUCCCUUAGUGUCUUGGAGGACAUAAAAUAUGGAAGCUGAGGUCAUUGAUCUGAAAUGGGUUGUAGUUGAUACUAAGAGAAUUUAAAGUCUAAUUGAUGAUAAUUACACAUUGAAGAUUCUAAAAAUGUAGAAUAUCUUGAGAUUCAGAUGGGGUUUGAGCUUUUCACCCAAAUCUUAACAGCUGUGUGUGGCAUCUUUAAAGACUGAGGAUUGUGUGGAUUAAAAUGGAAGUACUUAACUAAA